GGUGAAUGUAAUCCAGUUUUUAUUUUCCUUAAACUUAGUUUAUUUAUUAAUCCCCUUUUUCUCUGUGUUCGGUGAAUCGAAGUUCCACAUGCACAUGUCUUAUUGCAGCUGGAUAAGUCGUAGCCUCGUGUCCAUCAGCAGGCUGCCCCUGCACAGCAGCAGUGCAUGGCUGAGCUGACCUGUGCAGGGAGAAGAUGCGGGCAGGUUUUGGCAUUCUGGCCGUGAGCAUUGCAUGCUGUUACACUGCAGCUGCAGUACUGCGGGUGUUUUCAUUUCAGUAAGUUGCUGCUUUUUGAGGGCGAUAAAACCACAGGCUGCUGAAAUUAUAUGGUAUAAUCAUGGAGUCAAAUCCACAUGCUCAAGCAAUCCUAUGUGUUUUGGGUGUUUUAUUAAAUUGAUGAGUUAGUAGAAAGUCAUUUAUUUGUCUUGCUGCUAGGAGUUGUGAGAAACCAGAGGAACGCAGACCAUCCCAGUUAGCUGUUUGCAGGAAACAUCAGCAGCAUUUGGGCUCCUUCUCGCCAAAGCAUGAGAGGAUGCAUGGCGUCCUCCCGCAUGGCACGGAUGUAAAUGGUUCUGGGGUCUCUGUAGUUUGCAACUCCUGACUUCUCAAUUCACGGUGGAUUCUGACCGAAGUUUGUUUGUUGCAGAAACACUUAGACCAAAGUUGAAACCAAUGGAUUUGCUUUGUUCUGUGAUCCUUUCAAAAACGUUGCGUGCCAAAUCCUCAGAAACAAUUGGCAUUGAAAAGCUGAAUGCAUUUUUCAUCCCUGUUCUGAAUGGCCAAAUGUGCAAGAGCAGCAUUUUUAAUAUUUGAAAGUUCCAGGAGCGGCAGAGAGAGGUGUGAUCCCAUUAUGGCAGUGUCUUUUGCACAGUGCUGUCUGUUCCUUGAAGCUGCCAUAGGACAGCAAACGGGCAGUGCUGCCUCUGCGGGCUGAGGGGGGAAGGAGAGGCCCUGGGAGUGCUGCGGUGGGAAUGGUGUGGGGCACCCAUGGCAGAACAUCCCCGCGUGGUACCCGGUGUGCUGCUGCAGGCAGGGGUCUGCCCCACACCGUGGCUGUCGGGUGGUCUUGGGUUGGGAAGGACGUUCCGCAGCACUGGAGUAAUUGAGAUAUUUGUUUUCAUGGGAAAAGAGAAGCGUGAUUCAGAAGGCAGCCAGGGUUCUGCAGAGAUAAAAGUAACAUCUAUUCCUAUCACUCUGCUAUGCUUUUUUUUCCUCUGAUUCUGCUGGUUUGCACCAUUCCCUGCUGCUGUGUGCUGUGAAAGCUCAGUUUCCCUGCCUCGGAUUUAUUGAGGGAGCAUGAGAGGAAAAUGAAAUGAAGCAAUGUGUUUGCUUUGUUGUCUUCUUGCUGUCAACUGAGUCUUAGUAGUACCAUUAGUCAUUUUAUGACACGUUACCUUACCUGAGUGAGUUUUGCUCCCCGCUCAGUUUGUUGGGCUGAAUUUUUAAACGCAUUUUUGUAGGUUCCCUGAGAUUGGAAAGCGUGCUUUCCAUAAAGUUAGUUCCUUACUGAGCUUCCAGAGCACACCUGCACUCACCCUUCCAUCGGCCGGCACUCGGAGCUCCCAGGGCUGAGUGAGCUGUCUCUGUUGACACAAUUAGUUGGUUCACAGUGUGAGCGAGACAGCGGCUGUGUGCAGCUCUGGUGGAAUGCAGUUACAGAGCUAUAACAGAGCCCCACAAACCAUCAGAGGAGUGAGAAUGACCAAAGAAUUGUGAUUUCUGUGGAGAGCUCUGCGCUGAGGGGGUGGGCAGGACAAAUCCCAGUGCUCCUCUCACUUGCAUGAACAUAUAAAACCAUUGGGACUGCAGUCUUUCUCUUGGUGCCAUCCACUUCUGCCCUUGAUGCUGAGUAAAGCUGCUGGGGCUGAAGUGCAGGGCGUGCAGUGGGGACCUUCCUUGAGCACAGUGCCACUGCCUGAGCUGUGCUGCCUUUCAAGCCCCAAGUGCAGCUGAAAUUUGUCAUGAUCUUCGUGGAGCUGGUUAAGAAAAGCUGGGCUUCCUUUUCUGUAUGUUGAAGCUCUGGAAUCCUUUGAGUGUGUGCAUGCAGCUUGUGAUUCCUAUUAAUAACAACUGGUUUAUAAAAUGUGGUUACUGGAUUUGGCAAGCAUAUAUUGGCAGCAAGGCAACACAAUAGUCAGCUGAAUGCAAGCAGCAGGCUGCUAAUGCACCCCUACAGUAUCCUUGUUUGUGCAUUCUGAAAUUAUUAUGUUUGGUCUGUACUUGUGUUAAGUGCAUCUUGGGUUCAGCCAUUAGAAAUUUGAAGAUCCUGAUAGCAAAUAAGCGGUCUGCUUUGUUAGCUGUAUUGGUCAAAACAGAAGCGUUAGAAAUAUUUUCAGAGAGUGAUCUUUGAGCUGAAUACUGCAAUUACAGAUAGCAAACUGGUUCUGAAAGCUGACUGUGCCGGCUAGGGAAGUGCUAAAUAUAUCUCUAAUCAUAAUAGUUGGGUUUUGAGCAUUUUCUAUAGUGAUCAUACAUCUGUAAGUGCAGAUGGAGAGAUCUCCAUGUAAAGCCUUGAGUGUGUCAGAGUUAAUGGGGAGGCAAUGAACGGAAGCCCACUGGCUAAAUGAAUUGUUACCUUUUUGCCCCGUGUGGAUCUGCAGCCAGUUGUUUUUUGUCAUUCCACCACCCCAGGCUUCUCCAGAUCCCACGUUUCUGGUAGGUAGAACUUCCACUUUGUGUCCCAUGGCCCAUCCGGGAGCGAUACCGCAUCUCUCUUGGCACAAACCUGCAAACUGUGUCUCCUCAAAGUGCAAGUUCAGGCCAGUCCACAAACCUAGGCUGUCAAGUUCAAUCUAAAGAAAGAUCCUUUUUAUUUAGUUUGGUUUUUUUUAACAAGCGAACAUCAGAAAGGCACGCCAAUGGCAUCGUACCACAUUAUUGCUGUGUUGUGUUUAGGGUUAUAAGGCUUACUGUAAGACUAACACAGACUGGCAUCUGUUUUGUUUCAGCUUUAAUGUUUGAGAAUAACUAAAAAAUAACUUGCUUUUGAGACCCAGUCAGAUAAUACAAGAGGGAAGGUUAGUCCAGCCCACUCAGCACAGAACUGCUUCCCCUCCUGAACUGCCUGUGCCGAUGGCUUGGAGGCUGGUAAGGAGCUUGUGAGUUGGUUUGGAAGACAAUUCUUUUGAACGUAGACAGUAAUUUCAUAAUUAGUCCUUAAAAUUGCAUGGUAGUAAAAGCUCGGGAAACAUGAAAGAUCACAAACAUGAAAGCAUCUGGUUUAUAUUUUAGCUACUCUCGUCAUGAUCCCUUUAGCUGUCCUCAAAAAAGGAGGGGAAAAGGAUGGUGUGCUUUGAGUUAGUGUAGGAUGAUGGCUUGGAGAGGAGUAAGGGGAAGAUGAUUAAAGGCAGCUACUGAGCUGGCCAGGAGCACGAGCUACGGCGAUGCUCUGGUAGAGAGUGGAUUCUUUUUGCAUGGUCAGAAGCAUGUGUGCAUUUAACUGGCUGAGCUGCCUUAUCUUCACUACUUACUGGUGUGCAGCUGAGUCCAGGUAAGAUCACACUCAGACACCCAGUGAUGUGAGCGAUGCCUGUGCAGAGUACAGAGCCCUGUGUCCCAUAGCAUGAGCUCUGAGUUUAGGUAGGACUUCCAGCAAGCAUGUGAUAGCUAAAAAUUCACAAUUAAAAAGAUAAGUUGGAAGGUUUGCUAAAAAGGGAUUCAAAACGAUUUCCACUGCUGUUCUCUGCUUAAACUUUUCCUUUUUUUCCUUCCUUUUGGUGAAAGUGUGUUGUUCAGAAUGAGACUUAGAAGGACAACACCGGCAUGAACUUUUGCACCAAGUUCAUCUGAACCCCUCUUGUUUUCCUCACUUAGAAGCUGAUAGCUGCUUCAGGACAUUGCCAUAUAUUUGGCAUUCCCGUGGACUGCAUUGCACAUACGCAGCCAGUUUAGUCACAUACGGAAAUUCUGCUUUUCAAACACAGGUUUUCUAAACCACCUCAGCUCCUAAUUAUAAGGCUGCUUUAGCUCAAACCAUUAGAAGAGUGUUUAGAGUUGGUCCACAGGAGACUGCACCUAUUUACUAUGUUAUUUUAAAAUCACACCUUUCUGUGUCAGCAGUUGGAACCUCACGGCUUAUAAUUAUCCCUCUGUGUCCGGCCUGGGUUACAGCCCGCAGCUCUCCGGGCAGAGCAGCAGACUCUGUGCUUCUGUCCAUUCUGGUACUUCAGAAAAGGCAUCUCGUCACACAGGCACCCCUUCAUUUUCAGCAUCCCUGCUGGUAAUUGCCUAGACUGAGGAGUCACGGAUCAACAAAAUGCAGGAGAAUCAAUUUAGCAGUUUUUAACUUUGUGUUGUAAAAAGGGAGGAUGCAACUGAAUUGCUUUCCUUAAUAGGAGGGAUAUUGCUAAAAUAGCGAUGAAAAACAUUUGCAUUAACGUUCAGUCUAAACAGUGCUUAGGAUGCUUGUUGUCUGCCUCGUGGGCUUGUUUUUAAAUGUCAGUUUGCUUUUUUAUGAAAUGAGGAGCGAAGCGAUGACGAACAUCACAGCUUUACCCAACAGCUUACACAUUGCAACAUUCCUAGGGCCUUCAUUUGAAAAAGAAAUAAAUAAAGUAAAGUAGCUGGGGAACAGUCCUGUUGGGGAAUUCAUUAGUGGAAGGCUCAUGGGAUCGUACAAUGUGUUGUCUUUCAAAUUGGAAUUUUCCCAUCAAAUCCACAAGGAUCGCUUUUGUUUUUUUUAAUUCCUUUUCUUUUUUUCUUCCCUUCUGGGCGUGUCUGUGUGAGACUGAAGCCCAGAUCUGCCCAGCUCUGAAGGGAAGGACAGGGUGCCUUCCUUCUGUCCUUCAAGGACAGAUACUGCUUGCAAAGAUCCAGGGCCAUUAAGUCCUGUUCUGGAGUACCAAAUGGAGUAGGCAGGCUUUGGCACUGAAAAGCAAAAUGCAGACUAGCAAUUUUCCUCAGGUCUGUAAUUGCACCCACAUGGUGGUUAUUAAUGGGAGAGAUGUAAGUGCUGAAAGCGAGGAGUGGAAGCUGAACCUCCGGCAUGCAGACCCUGCUGGGGCCCGUGGUGCUGUGAUGGGCAUGCCUGGAGCCCAGCAGAAGGUCUCCUGCUUGGUCUGGAACGGUUUCUUUUCGGCUUUGAUGCAGGCUCAGGUAACUUGCAGAAUGCACGUCAGAGCUCGGCUGGGUUUUGCCAUUUUGCAACCACGCAGGUCCCUCUGUGUGGGGCUGCAGCCACGGCAGCAAAGAGCAUGAUGGGGGUAAGCUGAGGUGCUGAGCCUUCUCUGCAUUUAACACCUUGUCCACAGAGCUGUGAUCUUAAGCCUUAAAAUCAAUGAUCUUGUCAUCGUGAUACUUCCCUGCCUCUUGUCACCUUUAUGACUGUUCUGCUUAUGGUAGUAUUUUAAAGCUCUGAAACAUAACACUUGUGUAUUUUCAAGUGAUACUUAAACUGUAACUGUAGAAACAUGCCUUUUUAUGUGGCAGCGGAGCAAUACUUGGCUAGUGUCAUCCCCAGCCUUAAUUUUAAUUCUGGCAGAAUUACUGUGUUGCACAGGGAAGGAAGCCACACACUUUGCAUGGCGCUUUGGGACCUGGCGGACUCUGCCCUGUGCUAUCUGCAGGCUGCUCUGUGCUGCUGGGCUGUUAACCCCUGCGGGCAGGGAGCUGAGGGCUGCCCUGGCACUGCGAACCUCAGAUCCACCAGCUCCUAAUUCUGCUUUCGUGGAGGCAAGUGUGUAACAGACGUAGCUCUUCUUCUGCCAGGUGGUUCAAAACAAAAACCCGACUUCUGGUUGAACAAGGGGAGAGGAUGGUGAUGGUAAAGGGAGAAGAUGGAGGGCAGAAAUGUGAAUUCAGCAACACAGAUGCAGCAGUCUGGCUGCUUAAGGCAGGCUGGAAGUGCUGUGCCUCCUGCCCUGGCAAGGCAGAGCUUUCAGGCAUAAGCAUGACAGCUAAAUGGCUCUGGUUAAGGUUGGUGCCUGCCUGGGCUUCUUGGUGCAUCCCAGCCUCCUGUUGGCUGCUGAGGUCCCAGCUUGCAUGCGUGACAAUGGAGGCAGGUUCUGAAACAGCUUGUAAAUGGACACUGUAUCCCAGUUUAAAGGGUCUGCGAGUGGAAGAAAUUCUUGCUUGAACUGCUGGCAUCAGAGGGAACUUCCUUCAGGGCGGAUUUUUGCAGCAUGUAUUUCCAAUCCAUAUUCCCAACAGUUAUCAGAGCCAAAUUAUGAUGUUUUUUGGGUUUUUGUUCCCAGGGCCAACCCACCCCCAACUUUCAUUAGCAAAUAAAAGCACCGCAUGACCCACACUCUUGGCUAGCACUACCCCAGCCAUCUUGUAAGCAUUUGAAGUAAUCAUAUAGCUUUCCCAGGCAAGCUCAGUAAUUUUAUGUUUGGAGAGUUUGAGCCAAUUAGUCCCUCUUCCAAGAGAAACACUGCAUGUUCACCCAUUUUACCUUUAAACAAAAGAGAGAGGAUUCAUAUGGCUCGUGUUUUAUAGUCUCUUCCAUAGUGCUAUACCACUGCCCUCCUGAAAUUUCUUCUACUGUUGAAGAGUGGCAUUGAACAUUUUUCUUCUUGAGUUCCCUUAAUAAAGCGAAAUCACUGAGGUGCUCAUCCUAGUGAGGUGAAUUUAGCCAUACCUGAAGAUGGGCUUGUGGUGUUUGGAGUCAGCUUUGGCAGAUUCUUCUGAAGUACUCAACAUACAACAAUCUGAAAACCAAUAUUAUGGAAACUUAGCUGCAAUCACAUGGCCUGCAUACCCUCAGGAAGGAGUAGGUGCUCCUAGCUGCCUUGUCAUCCAUCCUGUUAUUGCGCUUAGGGAGAGGCUGAGGGGGAUCUCAGAGCUGCUGGGAGAGACUUCACCAGUUUGAAAAGGAAACGGGGAAGUGAAUGGGCUUGAAGCAACCUCAGGGGAUAGUAGUGAACUAACAUCUGGUAAAAAUUAAGAAUUACUUACUGCACUAAUUAAAAAAUAAAAAACAAGGUGGCUAGCAGCCAGGAGAUGGAUAAUGGCAAAGAGUGGAUUGCGUUUUGCAAACUCUAUGGAGGUCUCUCUUCUGCUUUUUCUGCUCGGUGAGAGAUGCAAACCUGUAUGUAGCACAAAUGGCACCAAGUUACCUCCUGCCAUGCCUUGUGCUUUCCCCUUCCCUGUUCUACAGCUUUUCUCUAAACCGUCAGCCAUCUGCUUCUGGAGGUCUUAACCGGUACUAUAAAGUGACUGGUGACCAUGGCAGAUGCAUUCAUAAGCAUGUAUUUCAUUUAGGUUGCCUUUUGGGAAGUUGCUUUUCAUAGGAAGAAUUUUCAGAAUAUUGGGUCUCUGACUGCAAAAGGGCCAAAGAUAGCUUUAAAGUAUGAUGCAGGUAGCCAUCUGGUGUUAAAAUACCUUUUGUAAAAGCACUGCACCCUCAGCUGAUGUCUAUUUUGUUCCUUCCGGCUUUCAUUUUGUGUCUAUGAACUUUCCUGAUGCUUUCUUUUGUAUCUUGGCCAAAUUUGUUUCAAAUUGCGAGGAAUCAGGAGGUCUGGGUCUCUAGGGAACUUAGAGAAAACUUCAAAGUUUUCUCAAAAGCUUAAUAAAAUGAUUUUUGGUAAAUUGACAGUAUUCCCUAUGAAAAUAAAUUAGACAAAUCUGUUCACUGCUGUCAGGUGUCAACACUGGCUUGAUUAAUGCAAUGUAAUGUUGUCUGACUGAUUGUUUGUAGCUGUCCGUAAACUCUCCAACUUGAAUGUGGGGUUGUACAUUAAUGAGCUGGGGGCAUUUUUCACUCCUGACUAUGGUCCAGCCCCGGAUUUUGACCACUAUUCAGAAUUUGGAAGGCGACAGCUAAACAAUUUGAUGUGGAUGGACUGUCUUUGCAAGGGACAACACUCUGUUCUUGCAAGUGCUUUUUGGCGAGGGUUGCUCUUCGCCUGGUUUCUCUAGUGAUGGCGUGUUGUGCUUCGGCCGGGAGCUGGUAAGCACCAGCAUCCUGCUCUGACAGCCUCCUUGCUGGCUUCUGGCUUCAUGUGGGCAAUUACAUACAUGCAGAGCAAGCAAGGUUCAUUUGCAGUAGUUCAUCACAGAUGUGUCUAAGCUGACUUCUACAAACCUACUUAGGUAAUUAUUUCCAAUAGAAUUGAGUACCCCCAGGUGUGCUUGCCAAACCCAGGAAAAAGUGUUUUCUCCCAAGAAAGCAUUUUUAAGGUGCUGUGUGUGUCAAUGUCUAUUUAUUUCUUGUCUCUCUGAUCUUUGACCGAUUUAAAUAAAUUGACCUUUGGGGUUUUUGAGAGACAGAGAGGAAUAAGGAUGUGACUAAAAUGUCAUGAAAACCACUGGGUUGACUCUAGGGAUCUCUGCACUGCGUUGUCUUGCUUUUAUCUAAAACUCUCUUAUGAUGUGCUUUGAUCUACGAGGAUUUUUAAAAAAUGCUUUUUUUUAAUGUGCAAAUGGCCACUAAAAAGUUUACAGAUUCACAGCAUAUGUGUGUACAUGGAGCUCUCUCAAGACUGCUUUUGAUAUGUGACCGUAUCCACAAAAAAGCCCCUGAGCCCUUAAGCAAGCUUUCUUCUUGUGAUGGUAUCUGGGUCUUACACAGUGCCUUUUGUCUCUGUGUCUUGAGGCUUGUUGAGGAGCUGGUUUCAUCUUCUUCAUUUAGCAGAUAAGGGUAGGGAAUGGGAACUGGAAGGUAGUUGUUAAUGUGUGGGAGUGGGGAGAGAAAAGGAAUAAUCCUCUUCCAGAAGGCCUGGGGAAUGGAGGCAUAAAUAGCAAUUGCAUUGCCUGAGAACCUAGUCUUGUACUCUCUAAUACUGCCUAUGUUUUUUCUGCUGGGUAUGCAAACCUACAGCUGAAGAGAUAUGUGAAGGCUGGUGCUUUGUUUGCAUAAACAUUUAUUUUUAUUUUGUAAAGGUUUUUAGUCUGUCAUGAAGAUGUGUUUGCUGUGCCUUAAAAUCCAAUUUUCCCUUGUGUGAUUUUCAGCCUCUGGAGAACUUUUGAUACCUCAAAACCGAAGCGUGAUCUUUCUGCUUGGCUCUGGCAGACAUUACAGACUGUAAACAAACAAGUCUGUGGAGCUUUUCUAUUUAUUUUACUGUUGCCUUGUUUGGGUUCUGGUGGAACAAGAGUAUGGUGCAAGACUGCAGUGAAUAUGGCGCAUGUGGUGCUGGAGGAGAAAUUGAUGGGUAUUACCUUUUUCUGGUUGCAUGUUCAGCCUCUGCUUCCUCGUAGUUGGACAUUCUCAUGUGCUUAAACUAAUUUGUUGUAGAAUAAGGCUGGCUGACAUCAAUAUUCUAAGGAAUCUUAACUGGAAAUGGUCAUGCAAAUUACUUGGCACCUUUCAGUGACCACCAAAGCCAUUAGUUUCCUUGGAGAAUACUGAGAGGAGCGUUAAUUAAAUCAACAGGAAUGGACAGAGAAGAGAAUGGUAGAUAAGCAGCUGUUCAGAGAAGGAAAAAAAAUUCAAUUGUGCAGCAUGAUUUACGGGGAAGGAGGAGAUCCUUUAAAUGUUUGGUGGUAUCCAGUAGUGAGACUCCCUUCCCUGCCCCAAAAAAAUACCUUUCUGGCAGUUUCUGGAAGAGAGGUAGAGACGAGGAAAGUGCUAAGCUUGGUGACCCUUCUCUGCUAAUGCCUUCUCCCUGCCCCCUCCUGAGAGCUGGCACAGCUUUCCUGCACCAGCAGGCGCGUCUAUCCUGCCAUCUGUACUGCAUGCAUAGAGACAAAGGUGCCAAAUUUCAGCCAGGGUCUGAGAGACUUGUUCUCUUAGGGGUGGGAGAUGGAGCAGAGAUGCAGCUCCUUCCCACCUUCCCACUCACCUUCCAGCUUGCCUUUCCAUGCAUGGUGCUGCCUGCUCUCAGUAGUGUAUCUGGGGUCUUGGGGAGGGGAUGGGAGGGGGCCUGGAUCCAUCGCACGAUUAGCGUGUGCAUCCCAUAGUUAAUUUAUGAAGUCAGCUGGGAACGCCAGCAGUGGAAGGCAGAGAAGACUUGUGAAGCAGUGAGGAGAGGUGCAGUCCUGGAAGAUCUUUUGCUCCUCUUCACCCACUGGCGGUUGGCUCUGUUUUUUCCCAAUGUACUGUUCAGAGCUGCUAUAAAUUGCAGUCAGAUUUGAUCUUGCCAAAUGCAAGUUAAAAUGUCAGAAUGUUUCCCAGUUCCUUCUUUUGUAACUAUGGAUUUCUAAGGUACUUUUUUCCCCCGAUGUUUUCUCCUCUUUCUACUUCUCCUGUAAUUAAUAGUGACCUUGUACUCUUCCACGUGAAAAAAAAAUGCAAGCAUUAUGUUUGUAAUAUGUAAGAUCACACAGUUACUUUUUGCUGGCACAUUCCUCCAAGCUCCUGUUCUGCAUAUUGGAAUAUUUUCAUGCUGGCUUCCAGAAUUCAUGGGCAAGGGCAAGCUAGGUUUUUGUGUUGGACAGGAAUCAAAGGAUCUGGAAAUGGAGCCAGCAACUGUAGAAUAAAAGCAAUUAUCACAUGCAAUGGUAUGUAAAUGUGUUUAUUAAAGAUGCUUAUGUCACUUGUUACUGUGUAUCGUAGAGUCGCAGUAUCUUUGAUUCUGACAAUAGCCUUGGGAAAUGUAAUAGCAAUACUUUUCCCAUUUUUCAGAGCUUCUUCUUAAAUAACUUCCCCUUCAAAUUAAUUCUCUUGGUCUCCCUUCAGACAUGCUGUUAUUUUCUUUUCUUACCAGCCAUCUAGUGAUGUGGUUGACCUUGGUUUUCAUAUCCUGCAGGCCAGAUCAACUACUUCCUGAAAAAUAUUUGACCAAGGGGAAACGCAAGGCAGGGCAGAGAUUUGACGUGUUCUGCUUUCUGCACCCAAGCUAGGUCGGAGAAACUUGUGGAGCAGCCUGAGAGACAGCUGCAGCACAGGGGGUGAUCAGGAAAUCCUUAGAAAAUCUUGUAGUGCCUGCCUGCUGGAUAUUUCAAAAACAAACACCUGUGCUGCGUCCCCCUCUGCCACAAAAACAAACCCGACCAACUAAGUGGUGUGUCUGUAGAGGGGAGGGGGGCUUACUCCCUUGUUUUGAAACAAAAUGAAACUGUUGUUGUCUGGUUAGAGGCACUGAAGUGCUGGGCUGUGUUUGUGUGCUCCAUAGGAACAUUUUCUAAGGAUCAGUUUGCUUUUGUUGUUGUCUUUACCUUGAACUGCAUCUGCACAACAGCUGUUCUUCUAAAAAUGCAUACCUGUCAUUAAGUAUGCGUAAUUAAAUUUAAGCUCAUUUGAAAAUUGGUUUGAUUCCUUAUGAUGGCUGCACAGGCAGGUUUUCUUUUCUGUGGGGAAACUUUCUUUAGGAACGUGCUUACAGCAAGUGAUGUGGUCCUUAAAAACAAAACAGCAGCAAAACUUUUGGCCUUGAAAAGAGGGUGAAGAAACGUUCCUGUAGAUAACGUGAGUUUGUUCCUGUCAGUCUGAUCCAGCCAAGCAUCCCAUCCAGGUGUUAGUUGAGGUAGGAACACUUAAUGGAAUUCAAAUGGAGUAUCUGGCUCGUGUUUGCUGCCAGAACUUAUGCAGGUCAGUCCCAAACCGUCACGGCUGAAUGCGAAUGCAGUGUGGCCUCUGUCGGAUUCAGCUCUUUUCCUGAAGGCUGGAGAGAGGAGAGCAGUGAGUGUGAGCCAGGGUUGCUUUGGGAGAAAGGGGAAAGUAAAUAAAAGCGCGGACUGCAGCUCAGGAUAUAAAAAUCCCUUCCUUCCUGCAUGCAGCAGCCAGGGACCGUGCGGUGACCAGGUCUCACCCACUGGUGGCUUUCCCAGCAGCUGUCAUAAUGUUAUUCUUUUCAGCAGCCGUUUUUGUUUGAAAUAAUUUCUUAACAAAAACAUCUCAGGCCUGAUCCUGUGAGGAGCAAUUAAAAGCUUUGGCAGCUGGGCUUCAUCCACCUUCCUGCCCUCCCCACAAAAUGCUCCCAGUGGAGCUGAGGCCUCCAUCGCUGCGCCCAGCGCCAUGAUGGGCAUGGGACAGGCAGGGCUGGGUGCCAUCAGUGUGGAAACAGCAGUGCUCUGUGGUGAGGUGGCUGUAUGUAUGUCCCUAGCAGGUGAAGGAGGCCUUAUCAAGAAUGAAGGCUGCUGUCACCUUGCAAUGUGCUGCAGGUGCUGUGUGGUGCUGUGUGGCAGGAGGUGCAGAGGUGCUGGGCGCCAUGUUGGUGCUGAGGGAGGGCUGCCAUGUCCCUUCAGCCACCUGUUGCAACAAGGAAGAGGUUAGGAAGGUGCCAAAGAGUGGGACACUGCAUGUUUGUGUGGGCAGUGCUGUGAUGCACAGCUGAGCCCUCCAAGCUGGGCCUAGCCUGGAGGCUGCCCUCCCCUGCACCAAACUGAGGCCUGCGGCCCCUCAGCCUGAGGAAGCCUGUCAGGGAGGAGGCCUGGGACCCAUCCUGCUCACUGCUCCCCUCAGCAGCGGUGCUGUGCCCUGAGGCCACCUGCCAGGCCAUGCGUGGGUUUCCAUCCCUGCCUUGCCUGCGUCUGGUGCUGCAGUGUGGCUUAAGAGUUUCACACAGGAAUGAAAUGCAGUGUUUGUGAGGAGAAGCUAACUGCAUUUUCAAACACAAUGCUACUUGGAGCGUGGAUGUGUCUGCAGCAGUGGAGGAAGGCUGUGCUGGGAGAUGGAAAAUGGCGGGGGGAGACCAGGCUGGAGACCCAGCUGGGCAGGAUGCAGCCUGGAAACACUGUGAUAGAACUGCCAAAAAUUCUGAGCAGCUUCAGUGCCUGUUAAGAGAAUAGCAGCAGGGCAGUUUGCCUUGGAGUUUGUGGGGCCCUCUGGUGCGGCACACCGUGCUGUUGAAGGUAAGUCAAAUGCUCUGCAAAAUGAAGUGGUUUUCAAGCCAUCGCUGUUGUGCCUGCAACAUGCUUCUGCGUGCUGCCAGCUGCAGACUGAGGGCAUUAAGGAACUGUUACUGAAAACAAAAGUACAAUAAGGAGGGUGAAGUCAGCUGAUACGAAGUGGGAGGGAAGAGAUGUGUUGUUUGUGUUGGAAUGGCGCUGAUUUUGUAGCACGUACCAGAAAUGGAUGCACUUGGCGAUCCACGCUCUCUGGGGACCUGUGGUUCUCUGCAUCUGCUCAUCUUUUUCUCUGGUAAUUUAACAUGAAAGGGUUGUGGUCUCAUGUGGUCGUGCCUGAUUUGUGUAUCCCUGCCUUACCUUUCCUUGAUCAGGAAGGCAAUGCAGUCAUCCAUUUUUGAGUCUGUUUGCUCAGGGUCUCUGUUUGACUUUGUUCCACCAGCUUGUGAUUCAUACUGUCAAAAACCAUCCUCUAUGCUUUUGCCUGAAGUCAGGCUGUGAUUUUCUCAUUUUCAGAGUGAUUUGCCUCUUUCCUGAUAUAAUUUAGACAGGGAAAUGUAAUCAAUCAAUCAGCAUGGUAAUUGCCUGUUUAGCAUUGACGACAGCUGAGAGAUUGCUUUGCAUUUAACAAGUCUUCUUCUGGUGGAGGUGGAGAUCAGAGGUCAGCACCUUCUGACUCCAGGGAUACACUCCCUGGAGGAAAUGUGGCUCUCUUUUUGGCCAGAGGCAGCUGUGUGGUUUAACUUGUACUGCCUGCUGUACUGGUGUGGGAUCUUUGAGAAUGGCGAUCUUAGGUCUUUGUGGGACCAGAGCUGGCUGCUGGGUAGGAAUUACAGUAGGAAAUAUUUCCAGGAAAAAUCCUAGUGGAUCCAUGGUCAAAUGAUCUCUCAGGUUACUCACAGAUUUAAAGGUGCUAUUUGCUCAUCUUCGGCAAGAUAGCACAGGGGAUGUCAUCCAGAACUUCAGCUGACAGGGAACAAGCUUUGCAAAAUCUCUUGAGAGUCUCACUCUGAAGAGGAGAUCUGGUGUGCUGAAACAAAUGGAAAGAACAGCUUGCUUAUAGGACACCUGGAGUCAAGUAGCAGCAUCAGUUGGUAAGCAGGCUGCGGAGAUGGAACUUGCUGGGUUACAAUUAUGCUUCUUAAUAAUAUUUUCAAAGCUAUCGACUUUGCUGUGUCAGAUAGCGAGACCCUGGAAGGAUUUGCUUAUUAGCCUUUUUUUCUUGUCUGUCUGCAUAACAUCUGGCUAUCUGGCAGAAGCUUACAACGCUGUCCCAAAGACCUAUUUCAUAAAGUGAUAAUUCAGAUAAAUGACAGUUUCUGUAGAGAAGGCGUUUCGAAUCAUUGGCCAGUGAACCACGUAGUUCUGCUUCUAUAAAACCACUACUUCUGCUAGUUGCAAUGCUAGAAACAUGUUAAAAAUGUGUGGCUUUGUCCCUUCUCCCUCCCCUUCCCUUUGGCAGCUGCUACACAGUGAUCCCAGGCAGUUAACUUACGCUGCCAUUGUCAGCGGGAGCUGCCUGGUUGUGCUCAGCAACCACCACAACAUCAUCCAUUUUUUUUCAACAAUAUGAUUUCAGAAGUGCUCCCAACAACAAAUAAAAUAAUGGAAGGGUCGGUAAGUGACACUAAAAUGUAAAAUCCGAGAGCACAGAAAAACAAACAGGUUUUAGGACAGAAAACAUUGGUGGGUGUGAGUACACCAGCAAUCUGAGCUUGAGUCCAGAUUCCUGCAGUUGAGUGUGUCCAAUUAAACCAGAGGCAUGUCUCAUGGGUAAGCAGCUCUCAGUAAUACCGGUAUGAGCGGUUUUGUGUUUCUCAUUCCCACACACGUGAUGUGCUGUACCAGUGUGAGGUUUCUAAGAUGGCCGAGCUGUGCCACGCCAGUGGAAGUGUCUGGUUCCCCUUCCCUUGCCAGUUCAGGCAACUGGCUAAUCCUUCAGAGGCAGUGAGCUGUUCUGUAAAAGCUCUGUGUCUGCUGUGCCAGCACAAUAUCCUUUGUUGUUGUUGUUGUUGUUUGUUUUUUGCAUAAAAUGGGGGUGUCGAUUCCUUCUGCCAUCCUUCAUUUCCUGAUCUGAAUGGAUGUUGAAAUAGUUAUGCUGCCACAACUUGCAGCAGGAGCAUGCAGUGACAUGAGGCUGAGCAUGGGGUGGGCAGUGAAGGAGAGGGAGAGAGCAUGACAGGAAGUGCUGUAAGCCAUUGGGACUGCCAAACAUGCCACAUCACUGAAACGCAGCUUAAGUGCAACUGAAAGAUCUGGUAAAUAUCCAGCAGGAGAAACGUGCCCAUCAUUAAUUAAAAAGCAAGUGGUGCAGGUUUGGAUGUCCAGUCAGAGGGUGUCUAUAGCUUGCUGGAGAAUUGCCCCUAAGAAUAGAAUAUUUUUCUGCUUCGUGUUCAGGUUUCCAGUGUAAGUUUGAUACUUGGCUUCUGAAGUGUCUUUAAGGGCAGGCUCUUUUGACCGUUAAAUGCCUCAAAGCAAAACAAAAAGAUCAAUUUCAGUCAGAUCAGUGGUUCUGCUCAAUUCUUUAACCAUUGAAUGGCAGUAGAUAGUGGUUGAUGACGAUGUUAUUAUAUCUCUGCAUGUUGUUAUGGCCAUUGUACAAACUUUUUGCUGGGGUACGUGUCAUUAACUGCAGGACAGAAACUAAGGCAAGUCGUGACUAUAGAAAUGAAGUUAAGAUGCUGCAUUUCAUUCACCCAAGAAGAGAACAGACCCUGUCAGGUUCCUUCUUUGAAGAGCCAUGAGAGCCUGAGCUGUGUAAGCAAUGAGUUGCCAGGCUUCCUUCCUUCUUUGCUGUGCCAUGCAGUCGGGCACUCCUCACCCCUGCAGACCCUGCAUGUGGUCCCCUACAGCGAGGAGAGGGAGGGCAGUUGCUCUUGUGGUUUGCUACAUUAGUUCCUUUCUGUUACAGUGUAAGUUGGUUGGUCUCUGAACUUUGGGAAAACCCAGCAGUUCCCCACCAUACCUUUGUCUGCGCAGGUUUCGCUGCUGUGAUGCAAUUGACACCAUGCUACUUGGCAGUAUGAAGCCACGUGUUGCCAGAAGGCUGGCAGGUAUUUUUAGCGUAGCCUGCUGAGCAAUAAAAAAGGAAAGUACCCCUUUUCCCCACUGAAAGGACCAAGGGCUGUAGGCCAUGGGUAGUUGGACGGUGCUCAGCUGUUGUUUUUUAUACUCCUGUUGGGUUGCCUUCACCUAUUGUUUGUAAAGAAAUUAUUAAUGCAUGGGUGCUCCAGUUGCUGCAGCUGUCUUAGUUUUUGCCUUUCCCUGUCUGUCUCCCCAUACUUUUUUUCCUCUCAUUGUCUCAAAUUAGCGCCACAAUUAAAGUGUGAAGCCUGCUGGCAGCUAACUGGUAAUUACUGUACAAUGAAAGAGGAACAUCUGUCAAAGCCGGGACAAGAUAACAGCUGUAAUUGAUUGCCACAUCAUGGAGUUUGACCACCAGCAGAUGGCUGGGGCCAGCUUUUAAGAACCGAUCACAGCAGUGGUCCGGGGGAUUCGGUGACUUUUCCGAGGUGACUGUGAGUUACACCUGUUCGGAGGCAGCCAUGCAAGGCUCCAUCAUUUUGCUCCCUUUAUUUGACUUUGUUUAUAUAUUUUGAAGUCUGUGCUGACAUCCAAAGCAGUACCUGGGCUCAGCAGUGCUGCCGUUCCCACCAGGCAGGGAGGAGCAGUGUGGAGCUGGGGCUGCCAGGGAGGACCUGCAGGUCGCUAACAGCUGCUGCAUGGGGAGGGCCUCUGCUCAUUGAAGCACUUGUGAAAAAGCACAGAAGCGAGUUCAAAUUCACUGCUGGACACAGGGGUCUCUUCAGAGAUGGACUCUUAAAGAACGUGCAGUGGGGGGAGCUGCCGGCUGUAGAACAUGGGGCUCCUGUGUCAGAACUACAUCAGGAAUACUUACACUGUGAUUGCUUCCCCUGCUCUGAAAUUCACAGCUCCUGCUCUUAGCUACUGUAUUGUGUCUCACUGGCAGAGCUGACAGGAAAAGGUCUGCAUUUAUUACAGCACUGCAAUUCAUAAAACCUGCAGACUAAGAGGAACCGAGGAACUGUCAUUGUUUCCACUACAGUGUUGGCCCUCUAUUUUACUGCAUUGUUAGAGCAUGUUUGUGGCACAUUCUCUCCUGCACUAGAAUCGUUGCUGAAGAGAUAGAAUGAAUAAUCUGGAGUUGAAGGUUGUAACUUUUAUUACACAUAAUGGCACUUGCUUUGUGGUAACAAUGAGAUAAGGGCUGAGGAAUCAGAUCUGUCCUUGUUCUGCAGUUUUCCUUUUCUAGUCACAUACAUACAGAAAGUGCAGGGAAUUUUUUUCUAUCCUUCAUCUCCAGGGAGAGUGUGUGUGUGUGUGUGUGUGUGUGUGUGUGUGUGUGUGUGGUGAUGGGGAUGAAUCUUAUAUUAUUCUCCACGAGAAAGCAGGAUGUCUCCAUGUAAAUGGCUUGCACAAAGGCUAGUUGGCAGUCCCAAACUGUACAGAGCAUGAAUAGCUGUUGCCAUUCGGCUCUCCCGGUGUUCAGUCAUAGGGUUAAUUGUUAAACAAUUAGUGCUGCAUUUCAAAGGCAAUAAGACAAAUGAGCUCAGGUAUGCGAGCAGUUUCACCUUGCACGCCACCCUCCUCCCACCCUUGCAGUGACUCAGUUGGACGGAUCUUCCUGCGUUAUUGUGUAAAACAGCAGCUUGUUUUAAACGGCACAAUCUGUCAUUAAUUCAGCUAAUAAAUCACAGCAUAAGAACAAGAGUCUUGCAAGAUUAACAUCUACAAUCAAUUGGGAAUUACAACAUUGGCCUUCAUAGGCAAAGCUGAUCGUUAAGUCAUGGAAAAUUUAUUACCUUACAAAUCUGCUUAUAAAAAGUGUUGACUUGAAGCCUUUAUAGAUUGUAUUUAUUAUUAUCAGAUAUUCAGGGUUUUUUUUUUUUUUUUUUUUUGGAUGAGAGGUUAAAUACCUACAGUUCUCGUGCUCUGCUUUGUCACUGAGUUACAAACCACGAUGGGCGUUUUUCUAGGGUAAACUGAAUUUUUUGUGGAGUGAUCCCAUGGAAGUGUGCAGAUCCUGUGCAUCACGAUCCUCUCAGUGUGAUAAUACUUGCAUUAAAUGCCAGGUGAGGCCCAAACCACCUCCUUGUUAAGUCUUCCAACUGAAUUUCAAACCAUUUUUGCUGGCUCCGAGCAAAGUGAGAUGCAUUAUUUCUCCUUUGGGUCUGCAGUGGGAGAAUUCAGCUGGAGCUGUGACACAACCAUCGUUAAGGCUUUCAUAUCCUGUGACAAGAGGAGAAAAUCUGUGGAACAAUUCCUGCUAAAAGCACCAGGUAUCUGUGCAAAAUAAAGCACCACCCGAAGAGCAGUUAGUUCUGGACCGGUUGUGUUACUUUGGAGCUUUUUCAUCCCACCUGCUUAAGUGAGAAGAGGGAUUCUGCACCUCAAGUAAUUUCUGUUGAAAAUAAGCAGAAGGCAAUAGAUCGGUGUGCAUGUGGUCUUUGGUUUUGAUGUGGAGAACACGUAGUCUUAAACUGAAACGAACAUGUAAGCUGAUAAAUGAAUUCUGAAGAUAAAUAACGGAGUUGCUCUAUUUUUUAACUGGAUUUCAAUAGUUGCCACAUUUAAAAAGAUGAUGCUGAUGUUAUAGAUAUGCUGGUAACUUCAACUGGCUGCUUGGCACCCAUUCAGGUACGAAGGAGUGGUUUCCUAACUCGUGGAUGGGGUGGUUAUCUGGGCUGGAGCUCUAGAAAAGUGCAGAAGAGGAAAUAUCUGAAAGAUGCUAAGUGCUGUAGUGUGGUGUCUGGGUCUGCCUGAAGCCCACCUUGAGAAAUCAGUUCCCUGUUCCUUCACCCCGUGCCUUGUUGGUGGCACCUCGGGGUUAGUGUCCUCUGCAUUUAUAUGCAUUCCAGAGUAGUGGAGACAGCGGCAGCCAGCACACUUGACAUGGAGAGCCCCUUUGUGCUCCUGAGUCCUGCGUGAGCAGCAGGUCAGCCUGUGAGCAGUCUGAAUAAGCAGUCCUUGUGUCUUCGUGUGUCUCUCUGAUCUGCUGAACAAAACCAGCGUACGAAAGGCAGGAAGGCAAAGUGAAGGCCUCUUAAAUGUCACCGUAAUGUCAGCAGCACUGGGAGCAGAGCAGCCUCCGAAGAGCAGAAAGCUUUGUAAUAUUUAUAGAAACAGAAUUUGUUAAAAAUACAUUUGCCUGUUACAGUUCAACCUCUUGGAGUCCUCACUCCUUUCAGCUCUGGGAGUGGGUGCUGAGCUGAGAGUGUCUGCAUGUGUUUCAGGCUGGGUUUGAGUUGCUGCAGUCAUUCUGGGAUCCUAGAAAAUGCUAGAAAUCCUGGUGUAUGCCAGGAACUGAUGCGGUCCUUCUAUUGAAGAAGCUUAAAGCCUUCUGAAAUAAGCCUAUUCUACCUCUCCCCUUGUAAACAUGAAGGAGAUCAGGAUCAGGGCAUAUGCUAUGCAGAGCAGCUAGCAGCUCACCUCCUUUUGCAGAAGUAGGCAGUGGCAGUAGGUGGGAUACCUGGUGCCCAGGCCUCUGUACUGGAAAAGCCCACUUUCCUUUCUCCAUGCCUUGGACUCCAGUACUGACAACAGAACAAUGCCGGCCUGUCUGCUUGUUUGUGCAAAGCCUGCUGUGUCGAGCUGCUCCAGCAUGGUGGUGUGUCUUGUCACCACGAUCAUAGGCACGUAACGCUUUUACAGCAUAACAAAACGGACCUGGAAAGCAACCAGGAAAUUCAGAGAGAGAAUGCUGUGAAAUGAUCUGAGAUAAACCUGUCUCUUGUCCCAUGUUGUGCAGGAAUCCCAGCAAUUGCUGCGCUGUUCCACGUUGCUUGUCACAUAGCCGCGGUGGCUGGCGGCAGACAGGCGGUGUCCCCGACCCAGAUGGGCCGGCAGUGUUCCUGGCACAGCCCGAGGCUGUUCCCACAAGCGGGAGAUGCGGUCCGUGUGCUGCAGGGAGCAGCGCUGCCUGCUGUGUUGAAAGCGCUGCCUCUCGAGAGCAUCAGAGCGGAUGGGGCUGCCUGGCUCCCCCAGACCUGAAGUCACAGGCUUCCAACAAAUGUUAUUUCCUGUAGUGGGGAAGAAUUGCUCUUUAUGCUGUGCAUACACCUAGAAUCCUUCCACGGCCUUCUUGGUUGUUUGUUGUUUUUUCCCCUUGCAUUUGAUUUCUUGCCUUGUUCCAAAGGGGCAGUGCCCCUCCAGCUUAGGGGAGCACCCUCUUAAAGCAAUCAGUCAGCACCACAUCCAGGACCACUGAAAGACAAAUUGUUGCCUAAUGAACGCAGUGACUGCCGCUCCUUCUCUUCCGUUCCCCAGGAGUUUGAAGACACACUGGUUUCUGAUUUGCAGCUGGGUGCUCCGGAGCCCUGGGCUUGCAGCUCUGAUUUACCUGAGCUUGAUUUCAGCGAGGUAGAAAAAAUCAACUCCAAUCCCACCAAGUAUGUUGUUAGAGUUGAGCAGGCAGCAGCUGUGUUUUAGAGCGCGCUAUAAGGCUAGAUAUGACAUAUUCCAUUGGGGGAGUAAGAAAUCAUUCUUUUGUUCUCUGUAUUUGACAUUACACAACGUUUCCUAGUACCAGAUUUGCUGCUGUGCUGCCCGCCUCUCACUGAUGUCUUCUUGUGUGUAGCAGCAUGCUGGUGGAGCAAAGCACUCACUGCCCCUACUUGUUCAAACCAUAUGUUUUGCAAAGGCUUCUCCUCCUCCCCUCUGUUCGGAGCAGGAAAGGCCUAACAGGACAUGUAACAGCUCCUGCUCGUUUCUCUUCCCUGCUUAUUAAAGUCAGUGAAGGAGACCACUUCAGUUUAGCAGGCUGAAAAUUGCUAGAGCUUGGGUGCAGACCUGAGCCUUCUCAUGCACUGCUCUUGUGGGAGGCAAACCCAAAAUCUGGAGCAGGGCAGGAGGCCAAAGGUGCCACACGAGCCAUCCCGUUGGACCUGCUGCUGCCUGUGGGUUGACACAGAAGUGUCACUGCUGACAUUGCUUGCCCCCUCUUGCCCACACUGCUCUCCCAGGAGCUCAAAAUCUAAUUGUGUGAGCAUGGCUUUGUUUUCCUUGCUUGGGAUGGCUGCGGGGGGAGUGGAUGGAGCAGCACUGCUCAGUGGAUUAAUAGUGUUUCCCAGCAGUUAGUGGAUGCUUUGAUUACAGCACUUUCUUAAUGACCACUUGACUGCAGGUGGUCAAGGAUGGCUUUAAAACGUCCUUCUUAAAUUACUUUCAGACUCUACGGAGAAAUAUAAAACUGUACUUUUCCCCUUCCAGCAGAGCUGUGGCAGCGCUGCAUUACCUGCUUGUGGCACACAGAAACGAGCACACCUUUCUGAUCUGUCUUCUUUAUCAGACUCCUGUGUGGUUCUCCCUGUGGGCAGCUAAAUUACUGCGCUGGGAGGAGGAGGAGGAAGAUUAGCAAAGCGAGUAUUUAUCUGUCUUAAUGAGUGUUCUGUUGACAGGAAUUAUUCCGAGUAUUUGCUGAACUUUAGUUACUGUUCAUGUAAAUCUCUUUUUUCCUUACUUGAAUUGACAAGUUCAUUUCUUGUGCUGAGUUCUUGGUGCACGUAAUGCAGCUGGUUGCUGCCUGUCCUUGCAGACAGACACAUGGUGGUUCUUUGGUCAAUCGCUUGCCCUCUGUUUGCCCACGGGGAUCCUGUUGCAGCACAGGCUGUGGAAGCACAAUGUGGAGUGGCUGGGCUUUGAGAGGAGCUGUGCUGGCUCUGCUUGAAGCCGCUGCUGCAUGUGGCUGGGUGCGGUGAGGCGGCACCCCGGGGCUGCAGGGGCUUUGGAUGAAGGUGGUCCCGGAGCGUAUGUUCCCAUCACCCAACCCAGCAGGGAAAGGUGUGAUGGGCAGAAAGACUUGAAUGCUUAGCAAAGGUACUCCUUGCUUGCUGUUUUCUUUGGGAGAUUGCACUACCUC
rnacentral:lncRNA from 1 species